UACGGGAGGCAGCAGUGAGGAAUUUUGCGCAAUGGGGGAAACCCUGACGCAGCAACGCCGCGUGAGUGAUGAAGGCUUUCGGGUCGUAAAGCUCUGUCAAGUGGGAAGAGCCUGCCCUUUGCUAAUAUCAUUGGGCACUGACGGUACCACUGAAGGAAGCACCGGCUAACUCCGUGCCAGCAGCCGCGGUAAU
rnacentral:rRNA from 1 species